AUAUGAGCCAGUCCAUGCGAAAAGGUACAAAAAGUCCUUUUGGUAAACUUUACAGGACACGUUAUCAAAGUUUGUUAUAGUAUUUUUGAAAAACGAUUUUAUCCGAAAAAAAAAUACAUUAAUGUAAACAUUCAUAAGAUUGUCAAUUCUAUCCCGAAUUUGUCAACUAAAACCGAAAAAGACGUAGAAAUAUCUGAAUUUUUGGUAUUUGAGCAAGUGUAAAAUCAUUUGUUCCCCGGACUAAUGCUAUACCGACC
rnacentral:lncRNA from 1 species